rnacentral:rRNA from 1 species
AUGAGAGUGCCUUCUGAUAGGGUGUGUCUGUUGUUAGCUUCUUCCUGUGAGAUUCGGUUAUCUGGUGUCCAUGCUUUAGGCUUUCAUUCCGUGUCUUUGCAUGUUGACCAACUGCUCCCGAAUCCUUUUCACGCUUGCUAUGCUAAUCUGGUCUGCUUGCUUUUGCUUGCCACCUUCAGCUAUUAUGUUGUGUUAGUUCUCUACUUUGGUGAUUAUCUGCACUUCUCAAUUACAGACUUCAUUGCUUCUACAUAUGGUUCUCUGUUUAUUAAUUUGCCUUUCUUUCUUUCAUGGUCCUUACUUUCUGUUUGGCAGCUUGUUUCAGUUACAACUAAGUUCUUGGGUUCCACUUUGUUGUUGGAAACUACUUACUAG